rnacentral:lncRNA from 1 species
AGUGGUGACCUCCUCUUCUUCUGACCCAUGCCCUAGGUAUCAAAGUCUCAACAGCCCUAGAACGCUGAUAACAAAGGUUUGUUUUGUCUAAGGAAGCCAUCAAGCUGAAACCACAACAGAACAGAAAACAGCUCUGUGUGAAUGGGCAGGAAGGUGAAGGGAGUAAAGCCAGAGAGAGAAUGUGCCAGGUGCCAUAAUCAGUCAAGAAACAUCACAUGUCUUCUGCGCAUCAAUCUGCAUGAUUAUUCUCUUGUCUCAGGCACAAGGGCUGUAUUUCUUCUCUGUCAGAUAGAGAGUGAUUCUUCGGAAGUAUUUCUUCACAGCCAAGAUGGAGUCCGCAUUCAUCAGGGGAGUUUCUCCCACCCUCUCCUCCUGCAUCACACAGGCUUCCAAGUCAUUCAGCUGCUGGUAGAGUUCGGUGCAGAAUUUGUCUAGGAGGUCCUCAUCCCAAGCAGCAGAUGAAUCUUUUGUGGUAAAGAGGUUGAAGAUCUGCUGGAUCAGCUCAUGGAGGACAGAGAUGGCUGGAGCCUUCUGGAACUGGUUGCCAUCAAACUCCUCCUGGGGAAAUCCAAAGUCAUGUCUGUCCAUCAGACAGGAGGAAGGAGAGAUUCUGCUCAUUUGUGCCAGGAGCAUCAAGGUCCUCCUGUUAUCCAGGCUGUGGGUCUCAGGGAGAUCACAGCCCAGAGAGCAGCUUGACUUGCAGCUGAGCACCACCAGGACCAUCAGUAAAGCAAAGGGCGAGGCCAUCGUAGAUAUUGCAGAUACUUCUGGGCUUGCUGAGAUGGGUGACUCUGAACCUUGGGCUCUAGGUUCUCUGAAGGCCUUGCUUCCUGCAAAUGCCUUAAAUAGGGAACAUACUGAUUUCCACUUUCUUAAUGCUUCUGGGCCACUUUCCAUUUCUGUUUUUGCUUUCCUUCAUGCACUCUUUACAUGAGUUUAGAGCCGUGUUUCUCAAAUGUUUUGUUUUUCAUUAUUGUCUUCCCCAUCUUGUUCCCAGAGACUUUUUAGAUAUCUUUUUCCUAAUUGAACCCACCGUGAAAAUUUAAUAACACAGAUACAAUAUGUAUCUAUUUAUAUACUAUAUGUAUAUCUCUAUAAUCAAAAAGUACAAAGUUUAAUCUUUGUAUUCAAUGCAGGUUUAAAAAUAACCAAAUGAAAAAUUUAAGCUAAAAGUUAAAUUUAAAAUCUAUUCAAAUUUUUCUUAACUUUAUAACUAAAUUUGCUUAUGGACUUCAACGUAAUUUAUUUACUGAUAUAAAUUGUACUGUAGGCCUGGCGAGGUGGCUCACGCCUGUAAUCCCAGCACUUUGGGAGUCCGAGGUGGGUGGAUCACGAGGUCAGGAGUUCAAGACCAGCCUGGCCAAGACGGUGAAACCCCAUCUCAACGAAAAAAA